rnacentral:rRNA from 1 species
GCCUUGGGCUGACACCCGGGUACUGGGGCUAACUCUAGAUAGGUGUAGAACUCUGGAAUGAGUCUUUGCCUAAAUAGGUUCACGUUAUCCUCGUGAACUUGCCCAAGGAUGAGGCCGCGACCGAUCAGGUUGUUGGCGAGGUAAUGGCUCACCAAGCCUUUUACCGGUGCGGGCCGUGGGAGCGGGAGCCCGGAGAUGGGUACUGAGACAAGGACCCAGGCCCUACGGGGCGCAGCAGUCGCGAAACCUUUGCAAUACACGAAAGUGUGACAGGGCUAUCCCGAGUGCCAUCCGCUGAGGAAGGCUUUUACCCAGUCUAGAAAGCUGGGGGAAUAAGGAGAGGGCAAGUCUGGUGUCAGCCGCCGCGGUAAUACCAGCUCUCCGAGUGGUGUGGAUGUUUAUUGGGCCUAAAGCAUCCGUAGCUGGCUAGGUAAGUCCCUUGUUAAAUCCACCGAAUUAAUCGUUGGAUCGCGGGGGAUACUGCUUGGCUAGGGGACGAGAGAGGCAAACGGUAUUUUCGGGGUAGGGGUGAAAUCCUAUAAUCCCGGGAAGACCACCAGUGGCGAAGGCUGUUUGCUAGAACGCGCCCGACGGUGAGGGAUGAAAGCUGGGGGAGCGAACCGGAUUAGAUACCCGGGUAGUCCCAGCUGUAAACGAUGCAGACUAGGUGUUUGGACGGCCACGUGCCGUUCUAGUGCCGCAGGGAAGCUGUUAAGUCUGCCGCCUGGGGAGUACGAUCGCAAGAUUGAAACUUAAAGGAAUUGGCGGGGGAGCAC